CUCGCAACGAAGGUAAAUAUAUGGCGGAGAUCAUGAUUUAGUUCAACAGAAAGCUGCUAGACAGGCAGAGUGGUUUUGGCGGCGGGAGAGGAGAGGUCGCACCACAGGACGAGCAAGCCUCGCCUUUGCUGAACGAGCAAUUUCGUGCUCCACAGUCGACCGCCCAUUAAACCCUGUCACAACAGUCCUCUAAGUCUGGUCUCAAUCAUGCACGCAGACAGACAUUUGCAUGUUCUUUCGCACAACUCAAGGGUUCUGCGACAGUUAAUCCCCUUUCCCUCCCUCCUCCAGUCUGGUAAGAAGGUCCAUCUGUAUCAGUGUGCUGGAUGGGAUCCUGGCGAGUUAAUAUCUGCCAUUUGGUCUUUUAGACAGCUGCACACAAUACUGCAAUGUGCCCGAGCAGUCUGUUUUGUCCAUUAAGAAUUUCUUCUGAAUGCACAACAGCAAAGAGGCUCUGGGGUCACUACUGUUCGCAGGUAUAGCCGUCGGGGUCCCCCCUCCAGUAAGACCCAAAGGUGGAACCAUACAAAUUUGCUUAAUUUAGGAUGUGGUUUUUUUUCCCCGCUUAUCCAAUGUAAAAACCGUGAAUGACAACUUUAGAGGAGUAACC